rnacentral:rRNA from 1 species
GACGAACGCUGGCGGCGUGCUUAACACAUGCCAGUCGAACGGAAAGGCCCUGCUUUUGUGGGGUGCUCGAGUGGCGAACGGGUGAGUAACGCGUGAGUAACCUGCCCUUGACUUUGGGAUAACUUCAGGAAACUGGGGCUAAUACCGGAUAGGAGCUCCUGCUGCAUGGUGGGGGUUGGAAAGUUUCGGCGGUUGGGGAUGGACUCGCGGCUUAUCAGCUUGUUGGUGGGGUAGUGGCUUACCAAGGCUUUGACGGGUAGCCGGCCUGAGAGGGUGACCGGCCACAUUGGGACUGAGAUACGGCCCAGACUCCUACGGGAGGCAGCAGUGGGGAAUAUUGCACAAUGGGCGGAAGCCUGAUGCAGCAACGCCGCGUGCGGGAUGACGGCCUUCGGGUUGUAAACCGCUUUCGCCUGUGACGAAGCGUGAGUGACGGUAAUGGGUAAAGAAGCACCGGCUAACUACGUG